rnacentral:rRNA from 1 species
GACGAACGCAGGCGGCGUGCCUAAUACAUGCAAGUAGUCGCUGAAGGGAGAGCUUGCUCUUCUGGAUGAGUUGCGAACGGGUGAGUAACGCGUAGGUAACCUGCCUGGUAGCGGGGGAUAACUAUUGGAAACGAUACUAAUACCGCAUAACAUUGACUAUUGCAUGAUAGUCAAUUGAAAGGUGCAAAUGCACCCUACCAGAUGGACUGCGUUGUAUUAGCUAGUGGUGGGGUAACGGCUCCCAAGGCGACGAUACAUAGCCGCUGAGAGGGUGAUCGGCCACACUGGGAUGAGACACGGCCAGACUCCUACGGGAGGCAGCAGUAGGGAAUUUCGGCAAUGGACGGAAGUCUGACCGAGCAACCCGCGGAGUGAAGAA